rnacentral:misc_RNA from 1 species
UCCUCGUUGACCGAGGCAGUCUCGCAUGAAAAAUCCAACAUGCGACAAGGGUUGCGCUCGUUGCGGGACUUAACCCAACAUCCCACGACACGAGCUGACGACGACCAUGCAGCACCUGUCACCGGUCCAGCAAACUGACUCUUUUGUUUCCAAAAGAUACGACCGGGAUGUCAAGCCCUGGUAAGGUUCUUCGCUUAUCGUCGAAUUAAACCACACGCUCCACCGCUUGUGCGGGUCCCCGUCAAUUCCUUUGAGUUUUAAGCUUGCGCUCGUACUCCCCAGGCGGGGUGCUUAACGCGUUAGCUUCGAUACCCAGGGGGUCUAUGCCCCGAAUACCUAGCACCCAUCGUUUACGGCGUGGACUAC